AUGAUGGCACUGAACAUGCAUAUCGUAGACAGUGAAAGUGUGUAAAAGCAAAUCUGACUCUUGUUUUGUCACUGCUACAGGUUGAAAUAUCUUUCAUAGUCUGUACUGUCAGAGGUCUGCACAUAAGGAAAAUCAAUAUAUGAAAACAAUCAGCUUUCACUGAUGCCUUUUGCUUGUAGUUUGCAGGAAUAUUCUAUAGAAGCAAGCAUAUUGGAGGAUGUAUUGCUCAAGGUGUGAUCAUAUCUGAUAUACAACCACAAUGGUUAAAUAUCAUGGGUAUCAAG